rnacentral:rRNA from 1 species
UACGUAGGUGGCGAGCGUUGUCCGGAUUUAUUGGGCGUAAAGCGCGCGCAGGCGGUCGCGUAAGUCUGCUGUGAAAUCUCCCUGGCUCAACCGGGAGGGGGCGGCGGAGACUGCGGGACUGGAGGGACCUAGAGGCCGGUGGAAUUCCCGGUGUGGUGGUGAAAUGCGUAGAGAUCGGGAGGAACACCUGUGGCGAAAGCGGCGCACUGGACCACAUCUGACGCUGAGGCGCGAAAGCUAGGGGAGCAAACAGG